UCCUAGCUCUGAACUCAAGCAAGCACCUUCCCUUCCCUGGGUCUCAGUUUCCCCGCUUGUAAAAGAAACAGACUAGACUUUCUGACGGCUGAAGUCCCCUCUGGCUCCGAUAUUCUAAGAGCCAGGCAUUCAGGUUUAAGGGCCGCACAGGCUGAUAAAUCUAGGGCAAGUGAGAAUAAGGGGACUGUUGGCAGCUCAGCCCAAGUAAACAACUCUGGACGGAAGGCAGGGCCAAUCGGCCUCUGGAGAUAAGGGUUGGGACUGAGGGGAGGGAGGAGUCAAGAAUCAGUCUGAGGCCACAGCUAGUGGGAGAGCUCAGCACGGCCCCUGGGAGGGCUGCCUCUGGCCAGGGUCUUGGGGCAGUCUGGGCUGAAACGGGGAAACCCGAACAAGCAACCUGUUUCUUUGGGGAGCCAGAGCUCCCAGGAGAGGCAGCCAGUGUGCCAAGGGCUCGAUCCAACAGAAGGAGAACAAAAACUGUUAACAGGCCAAGCGGGCCACCUGUCCAGGCUGGAGAGAAGCGAGACUCUAUAUGAAGCAAGACAGAGAUCCUGAGAAACCACCAAACCUGUGCUCAACUGGGCUCUAAAACAAGUCUCUGACCUGAUUGUGGUCAGACCUCCUGGGAGAACGCAGAGGACCCUAGAGCGGUCAGGUCGAGAUCCUCGUGUGACAAGUCUCCAAAGCGCAAAAGCCGUUCACAGGUCCCAGAGCCGACCUUUCGACUAGAGAAGCUAUGCUCCAAACAAACCACGCAGAACGAAAACCAAAAUCCAGCCCUACAGGGUGACCAUCCCUGUCAACCAGACUUGGCGCUCCCAGGCCACACGUCUCCCGUCAGGAAGCAGACAAAAGAUCUGGGUUGGACGGCAGGCAAGUACCUGCUGUGUGCCAGGCACGAGUGCCCCCGCCUCAUCCCAGGGGGCAGUCAUGCGCAUUGAACAGCGAAGAAACUGAGUUUCACCCCA